GAUGAACGCUGGCGGCGUGCCUAAUACAUGCAAGUCGAGCGAACAGACGAGGAGCUUGCUCCUCUGACGUUAGCGGCGGACGGGUGAGUAACACGUGGAUAACCUACCUAUAAGACUGGGAUAACUUCGGGAAACCGGAGCUAAUACCGGAUAAUAUAUUGAACCGCAUGGUUCAAUAGUGAAAGACGGUUUUGCUGUCACUUAUAGAUGACUCCGCGCAGCAUUAGCUAGUUGGUAAGGUAACGGCUUACCAAGGCAACGAUGCGUAGCCGACCUGAGAGGGUGAUCGGCCACACUGGAACUGAGACACGGUCCAGACUCCUACGGGAGGCAGCAGUAGGGAAUCUUCCGCAAUGGGCGAAAGCCUGAUGGAGCAACGCCGCGUGAGUGAUGAAGGUCUUCGGAUCGUAAAACUCUGUUAUUAGGGAAGAACAAAUGUGUAAGUAACUAUGCACGUCUUGACGGUACCUAAUCAGAAAGCCACGGCUAACUACGUG
rnacentral:rRNA from 1 species